ACGAACGCUGGCGGCAUGCCUAACACAUGCAAGUCGAACGGGAUGGAGCCUUCGGGCUCCGGCGAGUGGCGAACGGGUGAGUAACACGUGGGUAACCUACCUUUCACUGGGGGACAACCGAGGGAAACUUCGGCUAAUACCGCAUGAUGUGCGAUGCCAUGAGGUGUCGUACCAAAACUCCGGUGGUGAAAGAUGGGCCCGCGGCGGAUUAGCUUGUUGGUGGGGUAAUGGCCUACCAAGGCGACGAUCCGUAGCUGGUCUGAGAGGACGAUCAGCCACACUGGGACUGAGACACGGCCCAGACUCCUACGGGAGGCAGCAGUGGGGAAUCUUGCGCAAUGGGCGAAAGCCUGACGCAGCAAUGCCGCGUGAGGGAAGAAGGUCUUAGGAUUGUAAACCUCUUUCAGCAGGGAAGAAAACAGACGGUACCUGCAGAAGAAGCCCCGGCUAACUACGU
rnacentral:rRNA from 1 species